rnacentral:rRNA from 1 species
GACGAACGCUGGCGGCGUGCUUAACACAUGCAAGUCGAACGGAAAGGCCCUGCUUUUGUGGGGUGCUCGAGUGGCGAACGGGUGAGUAACACGUGAGUAACCUGUCCUGGACUUUGGGAUAACUUCAGGAAACUGGGGCUAAUACCGGAUAGGAGCUCCUGCUGCAUGGUGGGGGUUGGAAAGUUUCGGCGGUUGGGGAUGGACGCGCGGCUUAUCAGCUUGUUGGUGGGGUAGUGGCUUACCAAGGCUUUGACGGGUAGCCGGCCUGAGAGGGUGACCGGCCACAUUGGGACUGAGAUACGGCCCAGACUCCUACGGGAGGCAGCAGUGGGGAAUAUUGCACAAUGGGCGGAAGCCUGAUGCAGCAACGCCGCGUGCGGGAUGACGGCCUUCGGGUUGUAAACCGCUUUCGCCUGUGACGAAGCGUGAGUGACGGUAAUGGGUAAAGAAGCACCGGCUAACUACGUG